AGAGUUUGAUCCUGGCUCAGGAUGAACGCUAGCUACAGGCUUAACACAUGCAAGUCGAGGGGCAGCAUCAUCAAAGCUUGCUUUGAUGGAUGGCGACCGGCGCACGGGUGAGUAACACGUAUCCAACCUGCCGACAACACUGGGAUAGCCUUUCGAAAGAAAGAUUAAUACCGGAUGGCAUAGUUUUCCCGCAUGGGAUAAUUAUUAAAGAAUUUCGGUUGUCGAUGGGGAUGCGUUCCAUUAGGCAGUUGGCGGGGUAACGGCCCACCAAACCAACGAUGGAUAGGGGUUCUGAGAGGAAGGUCCCCCACAUUGGAACUGAGACACGGUCCAAACUCCUACGGGAGGCAGCAGUGAGGAAUAUUGGUCAAUGGACGAGAGUCUGAACCAGCCAAGUAGCGUGAAGGAUGACUGCCCUAUGGGUUGUAAACUUCUUUUAUACGGGAAUAAAGUUAGCCACGUGUGGCUUUUUGUAUGUACCGUAUGAAUAAGGAUCGGCUAACUCCGUGCCAGCAGCCGCGGUAAUACGGAGGAUCCGAGCGUUAUCCGGAUUUAUUGGGUUUAAAGGGAGCGUAGGCGGGUUGUUAAGUCAGUUGUGAAAGUUUGCGGCUCAACCGUAAAAUUGCAGUUGAUACUGGCGACCUUGAGUGCAACAGAGGUAGGCGGAAUUCGUGGUGUAGCGGUGAAAUGCUUAGAUAUCACGAAGAACUCCGAUUGCGAAGGCAGCUUACUGGAUUGUAACUGACGCUGAUGCUCGAAAGUGUGGGUAUCAAACAGGAUUAGAUACCCUGGUAGUCCACACAGUAAACGAUGAAUACUCGCUGUUGGCGAUAUACAGUCAGCGGCCAAGCGAUAGCAUUAAGUAUUCCACCUGGGGAGUACGCCGGCAACGGUGAAACUCAAAGGAAUUGACGGGGGCCCGCACAAGCGGAGGAACAUGUGGUUUAAUUCGAUGAUACGCGAGGAACCUUACCCGGGCUUAAAUUGCAACUGACUGAACCGGAAACGGUUCUUUCUUCGGACAGUUGUGAAGGUGCUGCAUGGUUGUCGUCAGCUCGUGCCGUGAGGUGUCGGCUUAAGUGCCAUAACGAGCGCAACCCUUAUCGAUAGUUACUAGCAGGUCAUGCUGAGGACUCUAUUGAGACUGCCGUCGUAAGAUGUGAGGAAGGUGGGGAUGACGUCAAAUCAGCACGGCCCUUACGUCCGGGGCUACACACGUGUUACAAUGGGGGGUACAGAAGGCAGCUACACGGCGACGUGGUGCUAAUCCCGAAAGCCUCUCUCAGUUCGGAUUGGAGUCUGCAACCCGACUCCAUGAAGCUGGAUUCGCUAGUAAUCGCGCAUCAGCCACGGCGCGGUGAAUACGUUCCCGGGCCUUGCACACACCGCCCGUCAAG
rnacentral:rRNA from 1 species